UGUUGUUUGUGCAGAGCAUUUAAUGCCGCCACGUGACCGGCAGCCAAAUCCAUAACGUGAAUGUAAUCACGGACGCCUGGAAAGGUAUAAAGCGAUAAUCACCACCGAAUAUGAUCAACUCCGGCUUGUGCCUCAAAGCGACCUGAGCGAUAUACGGCAUCAGGUUUGUGAAUGGUUUUGUCGGAUCCUCUCCGAUCAAUCCCGAUCGAUGAGCACCAACCGGAUUAAAGUAUCUUAGAGAUACGAUGUUCCAACUCUGUUAAAACAAAAGAAAUCUUCAAUAAAAACUAGAAGAAAUAGUACAAACUAGAAUGCAAGUGAUAUACGAUUUCUUUCCGAAGGAGAAAACGAAAAAUAAAAAAUUUGGCCUUUUAUUCUUAAUCUGGAGUGUAUAUUUGUACUAUGGAGUAAUAUUUGUACGAGUGUAUAAACACCAUAUUAUUUACGCAACUCUGGAUAUAUCCUUGAGCAUCUCCUCGAUAAAGUACUUUGUUCGGCCAUACACAUUGGUGAUAUUGCCGGUUUCGUGUUCCUCCGUGAU